UGCUGUUCUUCGAGGUACUGUUAGAAGGCGGGCGCGCGCCCGGGCAAGGAGGACGCCAUCCGGAGGAUGAGAGUGGGGCCCUUGCGGAGGAGGAACCCGGAGAUGUGGUGCCCCAGAAGGAAGCCGGGGCUGGCUGAGCGUCAGCGCCGCGCCCCCCACACUCCCGGGAUGGCUCCCAGAACUUGACUUUAACUUGUUAUAAAGGAUCUAAGUGAAUUGCCAGAAGGAAAAGACACAAGGAAACAGGAACUGGAAGCUGCCUUGAAGUCAGACACUCCAAUAGGAGCUGCAGGCAUCCCAAGAGACUCUUGCAUCAAAAACAUGAACCAGUUUGGCCUGUUCACCGGGGAAGAAGGAGGAGCCUUGAGUGGUCAGUGGUGGAAGACACCUGACCAGGGCUUUUGGGGAUGAAAUAGACAUUUAAAUUUCUGAAGAAGCCAGGAACAGUGUCUUGCCUAUUCUACUUGUGCCAUCUAAUGAAUGUGUACAUAGAUGGCAAGUCGCCCACCAUCUCUGAAUCCAUUUCAUUAUCUGUAAGCUGACAUUGAAAGAGCUGACUCUGUCCAUCAGUGUGCUCAAAGC